rnacentral:rRNA from 1 species
GGGUUGUGAGGUUAAGCGACUAAGCGUACACGGUGGAUGCCCUGGCAGUCAGAGGCGAUGAAGGACGUGCUAAUCUGCGAUAAGCGUCGGUAAGGUGAUAUGAACCGUUAUAACCGGCGAUUUCCGAAUGGGGAAACCCAGUGUGAUUCGUCACACUAUCAUUAACUGAAUCCAUAGGUUAAUGAGGCGAACCGGGGGAACUGAAACAUCUAAGUACCCCGAGGAAAAGAAAUCAACCGAGAUUCCCCCAGUAGCGGCGAGCGAACGGGGAGCAGCCCAGAGCCUGAAUCAGUGUGUGUGUUAGUGGAAGCGUCUGGAAAGGCGUGCGAUACAGGGUGACAGCCCCGUACACAAAAAUGCACAUACUGUGAGCUCGAUGAGUAGGGCGGGACACGUGGUAUCCUGUCUGAAUAUGGGGGGACCAUCCUCCAAGGCUAAAUACUCCUGACUGACCGAUAGUGAACCAGUACCGUGAGGGAAAGGCGAAAAGAACCCCGGCGAGGGGAGUGAAAAAGAACCUGAAACCGUGUACGUACAAGCAGUGGGAGCACGCUUAGGCGUGUGACUGCGUACCUUUUGUAUAAUGGGUCAGCGACUUAUAUUCUGUAGCAAGGUUAACCGAAUAGGGGAGCCGAAGGAAACCGAGUCUUAACUGGGCGUUAAGUUGCAGGGUAUAGACCCGAAACCCGGUGAUCUAGCCAUGGGCAGGUUGAAGGUUGGGUAACACUAACUGGAGGACCGAACCGACUAAUGUUGAAAAAUUAGCGGAUGACUUGUGGCUGGGGGUGAAAGGCCAAUCAAACCGGGAGAUAGCUGGUUCUCCCCGAAAGCUAUUUAGGUAGCGCCUCGUGAAUUCAUCUCCGGGGGUAGAGCACUGUUUCGGCAAGGGGGUCAUCCCGACUUACCAACCCGAUGCAAACUGCGAAUACCGGAGAAUGUUAUCACGGGAGACACACGGCGGGUGCUAACGUCCGUCGUGAAGAGGGAAACAACCCAGACCGCCAGCUAAGGUCCCAAAGUCAUGGUUAAGUGGGAAACGAUGUGGGAAGGCCCAGACAGCCAGGAUGUUGGCUUAGAAGCAGCCAUCAUUUAAAGAAAGCGUAAUAGCUCACUGGUCGAGUCGGCCUGCGCGGAAGAUGUAACGGGGCUAAACCAUGCACCGAAGCUGCGGCAGCGACACUAUGUGUUGUUGGGUAGGGGAGCGUUCUGUAAGCCUGUGAAGGUGUACUGUGAGGUAUGCUGGAGGUAUCAGAAGUGCGAAUGCUGACAUAAGUAACGAUAAAGCGGGUGAAAAGCCCGCUCGCCGGAAGACCAAGGGUUCCUGUCCAACGUUAAUCGGGGCAGGGUGAGUCGACCCCUAAGGCGAGGCCGAAAGGCGUAGUCGAUGGGAAACAGGUUAAUAUUCCUGUACUUGGUGUUACUGCGAAGGGGGGACGGAGAAGGCUAUGUUGGCCGGGCGACGGUUGUCCCGGUUUAAGCGUGUAGGCUGGUUUUCCAGGCAAAUCCGGAAAAUCAAGGCUGAGGCGUGAUGACGAGGCACUACGGUGCUGAAGCAACAAAUGCCCUGCUUCCAGGAAAAGCCUCUAAGCAUCAGGUAACAUCAAAUCGUACCCCAAACCGACACAGGUGGUCAGGUAGAGAAUACCAAGGCGCUUGAGAGAACUCGGGUGAAGGAACUAGGCAAAAUGGUGCCGUAACUUCGGGAGAAGGCACGCUGAUAUGUAGGUGAAGUCCCUCGCGGAUGGAGCUGAAAUCAGUCGAAGAUACCAGCUGGCUGCAACUGUUUAUUAAAAACACAGCACUGUGCAAACACGAAAGUGGACGUAUACGGUGUGACGCCUGCCCGGUGCCGGAAGGUUAAUUGAUGGGGUCAGCGCAAGCGAAGCUCUUGAUCGAAGCCCCGGUAAACGGCGGCCGUAACUAUAACGGUCCUAAGGUAGCGAAAUUCCUUGUCGGGUAAGUUCCGACCUGCACGAAUGGCGUAAUGAUGGCCGUGCUGUCUCCACCCGAGACUCAGUGAAAUUGAACUCGCUGUGAAGAUGCAGUGUACCCGCGGCAAGACGGAAAGACCCCGUGAACCUUUACUAUAGCUUGACACUGAACAUUGAGCCUUGAUGUGUAGGAUAGGUGGGGAGGCUUUGAAGUGUGGACGCCAGUCUGCAUGGAGCCGACCUUGAAAUACCACCCUUUAAUGUUUGAUGUUCUAACGUUGACCCGUAAUCCGGGUUGCGGACAGUGUCUGGUGGGUAGUUUGACUGGGGCGGUCUCCUCCUAAAGAGUAACGGAGGAGCACGAAGGUUGGCUAAUCCUGGUCGGACAUCAGGAGGUUAGUGCAAUGGCAUAAGCCAGCUUGACUGCGAGCGUGACGGCGCGAGCAGGUGCGAAAGCAGGUCAUAGUGAUCCGGUGGUUCUGAAUGGAAGGGCCAUCGCUCAACGGAUAAAAGGUACUCCGGGGAUAACAGGCUGAUACCGCCCAAGAGUUCAUAUCGACGGCGGUGUUUGGCACCUCGAUGUCGGCUCAUCACAUCCUGGGGCUGAAGUAGGUCCCAAGGGUAUGGCUGUUCGCCAUUUAAAGUGGUACGCGAGCUGGGUUUAGAACGUCGUGAGACAGUUCGGUCCCUAUCUGCCGUGGGCGCUGGAGAACUGAGGGGGGCUGCUCCUAGUACGAGAGGACCGGAGUGGACGCAUCACUGGUGUUCGGGUUGUCAUGCCAAUGGCACUGCCCGGUAGCUAAAUGCGGAAGAGAUAAGUGCUGAAAGCAUCUAAGCACGAAACUUGCCCCGAGAUGAGUUCUCCCUGACUCCUUGAGAGUCCUGAAGGAACGUUGAAGACGACGACGUUGAUAGGCCGGGUGUGUAAGCGCAGCGAUGCGUUGAGCUAACCGGUACUAAUGAACCGUGAGGCUUAACCUUACAACGCCGAAG